UUAUAUGCUCAACUCGAUUCUCCAGCGCUGCCCAAAGCCCAAACUUGAAGCAAUCACCGGUUGCAGUCAGUGAGUUUGGGUCAGCAAAUAGAUAGGUAGGUAUAUAUCUGUGCCAGCAGUCCUUGGACCUUGGACUUUGGGUUUUGAUGUUCAUUUUAAACAUUCUUCAGGAUAGUUUAUUUCAUUUCUUUUCUUGUUUAGUUGUUUUAAAAUAAUUUUAGAAAUUAUAAAGCAAAUAUGUCGGACGAAAUAUCAAAGCAAACUAUCCAAAUUAUACUGGAUCAAUUACAGAAGACGCAGAAGGAAAAAGCUCGCCUAGAAGAACAGUUGAAUCGAGUAAAAAAAUACAAACUGUUACUUAGCGUUCGUGGAAGAAUUGAAAGAUUAGAUUAGAAUUGUUAUUCCAAGGCAAAGAAUUAUUGAAUGGCAAAAAGUAUUCGAGAGUAGAAACAUGGUUAGCAAUACUCAAAUUCAGUGAACACCGAUUAGUUGACGAUCUACGAAACGAAAUAUUUAGAAGUGGGUUGACAAUCAACGACUUUUGCCAAUGUAUUGGAAUUAUUUACAGUGAUUCAUCAGAUAGAGUGGUACGCGGUGUUCCUUUACCCCAGGAUAUACAAGAUUUGGAUAUUACCGGAGUCGUCAAGUUAUUAAAAGUCGAUAAUGAAGAACCAAUUGAGAAGACAUUGCAUAUAUUGGUGAAAAAAUUGAAGUUAUAAUCGAUAAAGCUGACGUAGUCCAACCUGCUGAAGAAAGUACUACCUACAUCGAAGUUGCAGAAUCGAAUACUGAAGAAAGUAAUGGAAGUAUUUGAGUUGGUUAAAAUCAUAAUACAAAAAUAAUGAUGAAUAGUAGUUCAUUGUGUUUAUUUUUGUGUGAAUAAUUCGCAUUCGAAUUAAUUUUUAUCUGGAUUUGCAUUGUAAUCUGUUUCUGUAUACAUAUUUUUGUCCUACUCGCAUUAUUUAUAAGUAUCCUAGGAUCAUUAUUGUAUAUUGCAUUGAAUAUAGUAUGCCGUACGAAUA